CCUACGGGAGGCAGCAGUGGGGAAUAUUGGACAAUGUGGGGAACCCUGAUCCAGCGACGCCGCGUGAGUGAAGAAGUAUUUCGGUAUGUAAAGCUCUAUCAGCAGGGAAGAAAAUGACGGUACCUGACUAAGAAGCCCCGGCUAACUACGUGCCAGCAGCCGCGGUAAUACGUAGGGGGCAAGCGUUAUCCGGAUUUAAUGGGUGUGAAGGGAGCGUAGACGGUGAAGCAAGUCUGAUGUGAAAGGUCGGGGCGCAACCCCGGGACUGCAGUGGAAACUGAUGAACUGGAGUGCAGGAGAGGUAAGCGGAAUUCCGAGUGUAGCGGUGAAAUGCAUAGAUAUUACGAGGAACUCCGGUGGCGAAGGCGACUGACUGGACUGUAACUGACGUUGAGGCUCGAAAGCGUGGGGAGCAAACAGGAUUAGAUACCCGAGUAGUC
rnacentral:rRNA from 1 species